rnacentral:rRNA from 1 species
GAUGAACGCUGGCGGCGUGCUUAACACAUGCAAGUCGAACGAUGAAGCUCAGCUUGCUGGGUGGAUUAGUGGCGAACGGGUGAGUAACACGUGAGUAACCUGCCCUUAACUCUGGGAUAAGCCUGGGAAACUAGGUCGAAUACCGGAGAGGAGCGUCCACCGCACGGUGGGUGUUGGGGAGAUUUAUCGGUUUUGGAUGGACUCGCGGCUUAUCAGCUUGUUGGUGGGGUAAUGGCUCACCAAGGCGACGACGGGUAGCCGGCCUGAGAGGGUGACCGGCCACACUGGGACUGAGACACGGCCCAGACUCCUACGGGAGGCAGCAGUGGGGAAUAUUGCACAAUGGGCGGAAGCCUGAUGCAGCGACGCCGCGUGAGGGAUGACGGCCUUCGGGUUGUAAACCUCUUUCAGUAGGGAAGAAGCGAAAGUGACGGUACCUGCAGAAGAAGCACCGGCUAACUACGUG